rnacentral:rRNA from 1 species
AUUGAACGCUGGCGGCAUGCCUUACACAUGCAAGUCGAACGGCAGCACGGGAGCAAUCCUGGUGGCGAGUGGCGAACGGGUGAGUAAAGCAUCGGAACGUGCCCAGUCGUGGGGGAUAACGUAGCGAAAGCUACGCUAAUACCGCAUACGAUCUGUGGAUGAAAGCGGGGGACCGUAAGGCCUCGCGCGAUUGGAGCGGCCGAUGUCAGAUUAGGUAGUUGGUGAGGUGAAGGCUCACCAAGCCGACGAUCUGUAGCUGGUCUGAGAGGACGACCAGCCACACUGGGACUGAGACACGGCCCAGACUCCUACGGGAGGCAGCAGUGGGGAAUUUUGGACAAUGGGCGCAAGCCUGAUCCAGCAAUGCCGCGUGCAGGAUGAAGGCCUUCGGGUUGUAAACUGCUUUUGUACGGAGCGAAACGGCUUCCACUAAUACUGGGGGCUAAUGACGGUACCGUAAGAAUAAGCACCGGCUAACUACGUGCCAGCAGCCGCCGUAACAC